CACAGCUCCUUGCUCAGCUGCGCUCUCCUGGCUGGAGCCCUGGCCCUGGUCCUGGCCCUGUCCAUGCC
ensembl:miRNA